rnacentral:tRNA from 1 species
GCCUCUGUAGCUCAGUUGGUUAGAGCGCUGCACCGGAAUCGCAGGGCCGUAGGUUCAAUUCCUACCAGAGGNN